rnacentral:lncRNA from 1 species
AUCACCCAGAUCUGCAGUCUACUUUAUGAGACCAAGAUAUCAACUUCUUGUGGCCAUGCUAUGGAGAUUGCACAAUGGACCUAUUGCUUCAAAGGAGAGUCACACAACACUCCCCAGCCACUGUGUUGACAGCCCUGGGCUGGAGGAAAGGCAGCAGUCUUCACAGAGCUCACUUUACGGCUGGGCUCACCCUUCACCCCAAGACAGCUUUGAUCACUGGGAAGUUUCCACAAACACAGAAUGAAUGAGGAAGAAGGUGAUUAUAUUUUCGGUGUGAUCCACGUGGACGAGAGGUGUUGCAUGUUUUUACAAAUUGAAGAUCUGUGACAACCCUGGGUCAAGCAAGUCUAUCAGUGCCAUUCUUCCAACAGUGUAUAUGCUGGAGCAGCUGUACUUAAGUCCAGAAAUAAGAAGAUAUUUGAUCUGAGGACUCAGGAGAGAGCAUGGCUGCUGCAUAGAUGGUGCCUUCCAUCGCUUGACAUAGGGAAGCCCAGCCAAAGCCUGUGUCUUGGGCAGCCGGGGAGCUCUCAGGAUGGCUUGAAAUCUCCCACAUGGCCUGGGCCUGUUCUCCUUCCCCUCCAGCUCUCCUGGGUGCAGUCAAAGCUUCACUCCCUACACCCUACUGAACUAUCAGCUGACUGAUUCCCACUUGUCCAUGCCCCAGGACCCCACAGAAGCUCCACAUGCUUCCACAAGCUGAUGCACCAGUUCCAAGAGGAGGAAGAAAAGCUGGCACUCAGCCUUUAUUUCUCCCCAAACACCACAGUCAUUCAAUUCUGAAAAAAAAAAAAAAAAAAAAACCCAUUGCUUUGAAAAACAUAAAAUGAGAUCUAUCAAACAGCAUCUUGUAUUUUAAAGUGGAAAGAAUGGACUUUGGAAUCAUCUUUGGCAGCUAAUAGGCUGGGACACGCAGAGAAAGAGCUUGCCUGCCUCUGCAGACAUUCCUUGGACGAGUGGUUCUAAAUCCCAGCUACACACUCAAAUAGCUGCAGGAGGUUUAAAAACUGUCAAAUCUCCCAGCCCCUGCCCAGCCCAGUCAAUAUUUAUCUCAGGAGGAGGAGCCCUAAAACCAGUGUCUUUUCACAGAGCUCCCUACAUGACUUUGAUGUGUGGCCAGGUGAUAUCUCCUGAGUUCGGAGACACUGAUGCUAUCACUCACACCUAGUCAAAUGAGAGGAGUCGGGGAUGACAGAAGAAUGCAGGCAACUUACCUACCUGAAGCUGGGGCCUCAAGGUCACCAUGCCCUUGAGUGAGCCCUGUAUGGGUCUACCUUGUGUCUGAUGGUUCUCAGCAGGCACAGCUUCUCUUCAGGGCUUCUGCCGACAUCUUCCCUGCAUGUGGAAAAUGGCCUGGGGUCCCCUUAGACUCAGCUCAUGUCCUCCCCUUUGCUCAGGUUCCCUCUGAGUCCCGGUACCCGCCCAUGCUGCAGACCUCCUCAUGACUCCUUCCUCCCUGAGGCCUGGCCAUCUGCACACCCCCAUCCUAUCCUGUCAGCUUGUUUUUUGUCUCUUUGGUGACCAGACAUGAACCCCUCAAGGCUGUUCCCUCCACAUCCCCAGCGCUCAGUUUCAGGCCAGCCCAGGGCAGGAUGCACCUCGUGCAGACCAAGGGAAAGAGCCAGCAGCUGCUUCACAUGAGCCUGUCCUCUGCACCUGAAGAGAAUCUUUGGAAGGCCAGCGCCCCCACUUGUCCUGAAGGUGGAGGGGCUGUUCCCUCUAGCCCACACCUGUCAUUCUAGGACUAACUUUCACUUUUUGGAAGCCAGAGCCACUCCCGACCAUUCAGGGCCUUUCAGCAUUCGGAAGGGACAGUGACUCCUCCUUAGAUACCACAUGUAGGACAGGAGGGAAGUUCAAGAGUGGUGUCAAGGGCCAGAGACAGGGAAGCUGGGGGGUCUGAAAGAAGCUUCCAGGAGAUGUCUUCACUGCAAAAUACCAUACACCAAGGGGCUACAGGCUAAAACAAGACAUGUAUUUCUCACAGUUCUGGAGGUUGGGUGUUGGGGAUUAAGGUGCCAGCCAGCAUGGUGGGUCCCUGGUGAGGACUCUCUUCCUGGCUCACAGGUAGCCGACUUCUCACUGUGUCCUCACAUGUGGGAAAGAAAGCUCUGGUCUCUUCAUCCCCUCGUAAGGACUAAUCCCAUCAUGGAGGCACCACCUUCAUGACCCCAUCUAACCGUAAUUACCUUCUAAAGGCACCACCUCCCAUAAUAUCACCCUGGGGCUUGGGGCUUCAACAUAUGGAUUUGGGGGAACACAGACAUUCAGUCCAUAGCAAGGCACAUGGGGAAGUUGGAGCAUGAGAGCAGAGGAGACACCCACACAUCUCAGGAGAGCAGUCACGUGUUCGGAGGAUGUCAAGCCACGCUGAAGGCCCCUAGCCAUGCUGGGGAGAGCAUGCUCUAGCCAUGGAGUUGAAGAUGAGGUGGGAGUUGCCCUUGAGACCUUUCAUCUAGGACCUCCCAAGUUCCAUGAAGAGACAAGAGAAAACAGUAAGGGCACUGUAUUCAAGGGAAUGAGGGGUGAUGAGUCCCUCUUGGGUUCCUCAGUAAUGUCUUCCAGGACAGUCCAUUGAUUACACCUCUGCACCAGUCAGCGGACUUUUAGUGAGCCCUGGUAAUGUGCCAGAUGCUGUGCUGUGAGUGAGAUGUGCACAUUUCCUUCCUCGUGGAGCUCACACUCUCAUGGGGCAGACACACAAUCACACAAUCGCACACAUGUGCAGUGUGCAGAGCCUCCCUACAGGCUGGCCCGUGCCUUCCAGCUGCAUUCACCUGAUAGGAGGGCCAGCUGGAGACCAGAGGCUGGAGGCAGCCAGGGAGGAAUGUGGGCACUGGUUUUCUGACUCCCUGCCCGCUGCAUUCUCUGCAGCAGGCCCAGUUCCCGCCCAGCCCCCAUGCUGCACAAGGUUCUGAGAAUCACUCCUGCCCCCACUCCAUCAGGUCCCACUUAAGGUAGCUCCACUGGCUUAGAGGACCACCCCACCCCAGGGGCUUCACCUAAACCAGUCACACUUUGUAGACAGUCCCCUCAUUGAACUCUGAUCAAAUUACCCAAUUUAAAUAUACCAUCUGUUUCCCGCAGGGACUCUGACUGACCCAGUGACCUAGUCUAGGAGGUUAGGGAGUCUUCUGAGAAAAGGAUGCUUGAGCUGAACUCUGAAGGAUUAAAUUCUCACUGCUUUUAAUAGUAGGAUCCAACAUGUGUGUUUAGUCAGUAGUGGGGGUCCUGGUAAGCUUGAGCCUGCAGUGAGGGGUGCUGCAGGGGACACAGGCGAACCCAUGAAGCCCCUCACCCCACCUCUUAGCCAUGCCUGGCCAGGGAGGGCAUCCCUAGACCCAGGCUCAGCUAUAAGAAAGAGCAAGAACCAACAAACAUUUCUUAAGCACCACUCCGGGGCCAGGCCGUGUGCUGGGCCUGAACGCUUCUCAUAGGUGACGUGGAGACCUGGGGGUGGCUGCCAUCUGGUGCUCUGGGUUUUGAGGGGUGCUCUCUGAAAGACCAAGCUGAGCAGCAGGAGGCCCAGAAAUGGGGGCUCCCAUUAGACAUUGUGGCCAGUCUCACAGCACAGCCAGAAGGGCCAGCACUGCAGGGAGGGGAGCAGAGGGGAGGAUGUGCUCUUUGGCCAGGCGAAAGCCUGGUCCCCAGGACUGAGGUCCUAGAGAAUCAGGGAUGCAGGAGAAUGAUGAAGAGAGAGGUCUCAAGGCCAAAGACAAUAAGGUGAACUGUCAGAAAGUCUGGGAGAAAGAUGAUUUGAGGGUGACCCGAGAGGCUUGCUGUCAAAUGUCCCAAGAUCGGACAGUCGAGCAAGGCAGCAUGAUGGAAGGAAUCUAGCCCUGUCCAUCCACAUAAGCCCAAUUGCAAGUGCACUGUUGGAGUCAUGAAAAAUGUAAUGUCUAGUUCUGGUGUGAGCAGGGCCACUCUCUUCCAAAGAUACUCCCAUGGGAACAGAAAAAAAGGGUAGAAGCCCGAAGAGCCAUAAAAGGCAGCAAGGUCAGGAAGCCACCAGAAUGUCAGUGAGAUGUUUAAUUUUGAAAAUCAAUUAAUGUAAUGUGUCAUAUCAACAGAUCGAAGGGAGAAAGUCCAUGCUCAGGUUUAUAGAUGCAAAGAUCUGUUUGAUAAAAUUCAACAUCCACUCAUGACUUAAUAAAGAAACAAAACCUAUGGCAAAUCACAUGUAAAAGUGUUUAAGAUAUUCCCUUUAAUAUCAGAAAAGUGGCAAGAAUGCCUUCUUUUAUCUUUUCAAUGCUGUAAUGCAUUAAAGGGCUUAGGCAGUGCAAUAAGAAGAAAAAAGAAAUAAAAGAGAGAUUGGAAAGCAAUAAUCAAAGCUGUCAUUAUUUGAGGCAGAUAGAUAAUUGAAAGUACCUCUGAUUGGUUGCAGCAGACAAUCAGAUGUUUGCAUAGAGUAAGUUUGUAACUUCAGCCUCUGGUUGCUUUCCAAAACAAUUAGACUGAUUGCCGGCCACCACUUCAUUUACAUGGGGUGAACACCAAGUGGCCAAUGGGAAACCUCUAGGGGAUAUUUGGACCCCGGAAGAUACUGUAACCGAGGCCCUUGAGCUGCUGCUCUGGCCCACUCCCACCCUGUGGCAUGUACUUUCAUUUUCAAUAAAUUUCUACUUUUGCUGCUUCAGUCUUUCCUUGCUUUGCUGUGUGUUUUGUUCAAUUCUUUGUUCAAAACACCAAGAACCUAGACAACUUGCAGUCGAUACCCUCUACAGUUAACAAGCUGGGGAAUGCUCCUUCCAGGGUCCCAAGGUCCUUGCCUGGCUGAGCUUCUGGUGGCUGCCAGCAUUCCUCGGCUUGUGGCCGCAUCACUCCAUUCUCCAUCUCCAUGGUCACAUCACUUCUUUUCUGUCUGUUUUCAGCCUCCCUCUGCCUCUCUUAUAAAGACAUUUGUGAUGCAUUUAGGGCAUACCUGGUUACUACAGGAUAAUCCCCCUUAUCAAACUCCUUAACCUAAUCACAUCUGGAAUACAUUGUUUUUGCCUAGAAAUUCAUAUUCACAGGUUGCAGGGGUUAGGACCUUCUCAGGCACCAAAUGAUAAGAAAUCAUCUUUCUGAGUAACCCACAUGGAGUGGCC